CCCUAUUAUGAAUAUUUAUUUUUGAUUAUUAUGUAAUGAAAUUUUAAAAUUUUGGCGGUUAGUUAUUUAUUAGAGGAGCUUGUUAUAGAAUUUGCUCUUUUUAUUUUAUUUAUUUUUGUUUAUUUAUCUCCGUUAUUAGGUUUAAAUUGGAAGAGUAUAAGCUUUUAUUUCAGGUCAAGAUGUAGCAAAAAUUUGUUUAGAUUAGCUACAAUUAUGUUUUAUAAUGGAGAUUUUGAGUGGAGAUAUUUAUUGAAAUUGAAUUUGAUUGUAACAAUUAAUUAGAAAAUUAAUGUGAAUUUUUAUAAUUAAUGUA
rnacentral:rRNA from 1 species